UGCUACCUUCUCCUUCUCCUUCUCUUUCAAUCUCCUCUGACUUGAUCGUCGGAGGGCCCCCACUACCCCGGUGGUGGUGUGAGGCUUGCUUGCAGGUUUCACGGCGGAGGGCGGAGCGGAACCAAAGCAACUCAAAGGAAACCCCGUUCACACCGCUGUGCCAAUCGUUCUCGGUUUGGACCACCAGCAACAAGAGUGAUAGAAGAUUAGCACAAUUAAAUGCUAAAGUAAUUAAUGUACUUUACUGUUCACUAGAUGUAAGUGAAUUUAAUAGAAUAUCUACAUGCAUCUCUGCGAAAGAAAUUUGGGAUAAACUAGAGGUAACAUAUGAAGGAACUAAUCAAGUCAAAGAGUCGAAAAUAAAUAUAUUAGUACAUAAGUAUGAGUUGUUUAAAAUGGAAUCCACUGAGUCCAUAACUGAAAUGUUUACUCGAUUCAUGGAAAUCAUAAAUGGGCUGAAGAGUCUAGGAAAGUCUUAUACUAACUCUGAACUAGUGCGAAAAAAUUCUCAAGUCUCUACCAAGAGUUUGGGAGGUCAAGGUAACUGCAAUUCAAGAGGCAAAGGAUCUCAAUAUACUGCAAUUGGAAGAGCUUCUAGGAUCACUCAUGACCCAUGAGUUGACCAUGAGGCAAAAUUCAGAAGAUGAGGUUAAGAAAAGAAAGACCAUUGCCUUAAAGUCUACCACUCCAAAAUAGGAAACUGAAUCAGAAGAAUCUGAUGAUGAGGAGGAAUAUGAUAAAGAAGGAAUGGCUAUGCUUGCAAGAAAAUUCAGAAAAUUUAUGAGAGGUAAGAAGAAAUUUCAAAAAAGAAAGCCCUUCCUCAAAGGUAGCUCAAGCAAAGAAAAAGGUAAGGACAAAGAAAAGGAAAAGGAAACCCCAAUUUGCUAUGAGUGUAACAAGCCCGGGCAUUUCAAGAUAGACUGUCCGGAAUUGAAAUGGAUGGCAAGAAAACUUAAGAAGAGGAACCUCAUGGCUGAUUGGAGUGAAAGUGAGGAGUCAAGUUCGGAAGAGGAAGAUCAACAAGAGACAGCCCAAAUCUGCUACAUGGCCAAUGACGAUGAGGGGUGUCUUGCAUCAAAUAAGGUGGAUAAACGAUGGUAUCUAGAUAGUUGCUGUUCAAGAAAGGUGACGUAGAACAAUUUGUCACCUUGGAAUCUAAGAAGGGUGGAGUAGUAACCUAUGGAGACAAUGAAAAAGGAUUUAUCAUUGAAAAGGAUAAAAUUUUUAUUACUCCAUCCACCUUUAUAGAAAAUGUCUUAUUAGUUAAUAGUCUGAAACAUAACUUAGUAUAAGUCAAUUUUGUGAUAGAGGUCUUAAAGUUAUAUUUGAAGCUUCAGUAUGCAUAAUCACAAAUCCUAAAGAUAAUAGCAUUGUACUUAUAGGCCAAAGGCAUGGAAAUAUUUACAUGGUAGAUCUUCAUGAGUUAGGCAAGAAAAAUAGACUAUGCUUAAUUACUAAUGAAGAAAAGAAAAGUGAAACAAGUUGGCUUUGGCAUCGUAGACUAGGACAUGCUAGUAUGGACUUAAUAUCAAAACUAGUCAAGAAGGAUUUGAUAAAAGAUGUGCUAAAAUUGAUCUUUGAGAAAGACAAAAUCUGUGGAUCAUGCUCAUUAGGAAAGCAAACAAAAUCAUUCCUUCAAAUCAAAGAACAUAGUAUCAACUACUAGGCCUUUUGAACUCAUAUACAUGGAUUUAUUUGGGCCUACUAGAACUGCGAGUCUAGGAGGAAAAAAGUAUGGACUAGUUAUAGUUGAUGAUUUUUCAAGAUAUACAUGGGUUUCAUUCCUUGCACAUAAGAAUGAAGCAUUUUUAGCAUUCUUGAAAUAUUAUAAAAAUAUCAUAACUGAAAAAGAAGCUUACCUUAAUUGCAAUUCGAAGUGAUCAUGGAACUGAAUUUGAAAAUCAACACUUUGAAGAAUUUUAUAAUGAAAAUGGUAUCUCACAUCAAUUUUCAGCACCUAGAACGCCUCAACAAAAUGGGGUUGUUAAAAAGAAAAAUAGGACCUUGGCAGAAAUGGCACGCACAAUGUUGUGUGAGUCAAAUCUUCCAAAGUACUUUUGGGCUGAAGCUAUAAGUACUGCUUGCCAUAUUCUAAACCGUAUUUUAAUACGACCUAUAACCAAGAAAACCCCCUAUGAACUUUGGAAGAACAAGAAACCAACUGCUAAAUACCUUAGAAUAUUUGGAUGUAGAUGUUUCAUUUUAAAUAAUGGCAAGGCGGAUCUAAGUAAAUUUGAUGCCAAGUCAGAUGAAGGUAUCUUCUUAGGAUACUCUACANNNNNNNNNNNNNNNNNNNNNNNNNNNNNNNNNNNNNNNNNNNNNNNNNNNNNNNNNNNNNNNNNNNNNNNNNNNNNNNNNNNNNNNNNNNNNNNNNNNNNNNNNNNNNNNUAUUGAGUUUGAAAAACUAAAGCUUGAUGACGUGCAAAUCAAGAAAAGGAAGAUGAUCGUGUGCCACCACAAUCUCAAGACUUGCCAAAAGAAUGGAGGUAUGCACAUGGACACCCUAAAGAUUUAAUCAUUGGUGAUCCAUCUCAAGGGGUAAGAACUCGAUUAUCUCUUAGAAAUUUAAAUGACUAUCUUGCUUUUGUUUCACAAAUAGAACCUAAGACUUGUGAAGAAGCUAAAAAUGACAUAAAUUGGAUUAAUGCUAUGCAAGAAGAAUUAAAUCAAUUUAAAAGAAGCAAUGUUUGGACAUUAAUUAAGAGACCAAAGCAUAAUUCUGUAAUUGGAACAAAAUGGAUCUUUAGAAAUAAACUAGAUGAAAAUGGGAUAGUUUUAAGAAAUAAAGCUAGACUUGUAGCCAAGGGAUACAAUCAAGAAGAAGGCAUAGAUUUUGAAGAAACAUUUGCUUCCGUAGCUAGAUUGGAAGCUAUUAGAUUACUUUAUAGCUUUUGCAUGCUUCAUGGACUUUAAAUCAUAUCAAAUGGAUGUGAAAAGUGCUUUCUUAAAUGGUAAUAUAGAAGAAGAAGUGUAUGUAGAGCAACCAUCUGGUUUUGAGAAUCAUGAAUUCCCUGAUCAUGUAUUUAGAUUACAUAAGGCACUAUAAAGAUUACAUGGUAUGAUCGACUAAGCAAAUUUCUGUUAAGUAAUAACUUCAGUAGAGGAAAUUUAGAUAAAACACUCUUUCUCAAGAGAAAGGACAAAGAUUUGCUAGUAGUACAAAUAUAUGUAGAUGAUAUAAUUUUUGGUGCCACUAAUGAUAAUCUUUGCAAAGAGUUUGCUGAAUUAAUGCAAGGAGAAUUCGAGAUGAGUAUGAUGGGAGAACUAAAUUUCUUUCUCCGAUUGCAAAUCAAGCAAACUAAGGAAGGUAUUUUCAUUCAUCAAACUAAGUACACAAAGAAAAUAUUAAAGAAGUUUGGAAACGAAAAUCACAAGAGAAUAGGCACCCCAAUGAAUCCCACUAGUAAGCUAGACAAAGAUGAAAAAGAAAAAAGUGUAGAUAUGAAGCUUUAUAGAGGCUUAAUUAGAUCUUUGCUUUAUCUCACUGCUAGUAGGCCAGAUAUAGUGUUUAGUGUGGGCAUAUGUGCUAGAUACCAAUCAGAUCCUAAGGAGUUACAUCUAAGCGCUGUCAAAAAAAUUCUUAGAUAUCUGAGAGGAACCACNNNNNNNNNNNNNNNNNNNNAAGAAAAAGUGUAGAUAUGAAGCUUUAUAGAGGCUUAAUUAGAUCUUUGCUUUAUCUCACUGCUAGUAGGCCAGAUAUAGUGUUUAGUGUGGGCAUAUGUGCUAGAUACCAAUCAGAUCCUAAGGAGUUACAUCUAAGCGCUGUCAAAAAAAUUCUUAGAUAUCUGAGAGGAACCACAAACAUAGGAUUAUGGUACUCUAGAGACUCCUGUCUAGAUUUGCUUGCAUAUUCUGAUGCAGAUUUUGCUGGAUGCAAAUUAGAUAGGAAGAGCACUAGUGGAACAUGUCAAUUCUUAGGAAAUAACUUAGUAUCAUGGUUUAGCAAAAAGCAGAAUUCAGUAGCAUUGUCAACGGCUGAGGUCGAAUAUAUAGCUGUCGGCAAUUGCUGUGCUCAAGUACUAUGGCUUAAGCAACAACUGGAGGACUAUGGAAUUAAACUAGAUAACAUUCCUAUAAAGUGUGAUAAUACUAGUGCCAUUAACCUUACCAAAAAUCUGGUUCAGCACUCUAAAGCCAGACAUAUUGAAAUAAGGUAUCAUUUCAUUAGAGAUCAUGUACAAAAUGGAAAUGUAUGUAUUCAGCAUGUGUGUACCGAAAAACAACUAGCUAACAUAUUUACAAAACCUUUAAGUGAAGAUAGAUUUUGCAUACUUAGGAGGAAACUAGACAUAUGUGAUCCUUUUGAUUGAAUACAUAUAAGAGAAACAAAUUGUUUCAUGAUACUCUUCUCUUAAUUUGAAAAAUCCAUGAAACAUUAGUUAAACUAGGCAUUUAUAGACUCCUUACUCUUGUAUCAUUGUCCCAUGAAGAUUUGGUAAGGAUUGGAAGAAAGGAAGAAUUUAAAAAAAAAAAUUUGGUCUGAACUGGGGCUGACCCGAGCCAGAAUGGGGUCGACCCCACGUUGAGUCGACCCAAGAAAAAUCUGGGGUCGACCCAACGACGGGACCCCACUUUUAAAAGGGGGACUCGUGAGCUAUUCUAGGGCAUUAUCCUCUUCCUAAAAUCCUAUUUUUCACUUUUCAAUUGCUUCCAAUCAUCUCCAAAUAGUAGAAGAUAGCUUCCCCAAGCCGUUAGAUCAAGAUCUUCAACUCCAAAUAUUUUAACCCAUAACAUGCUUGAUAUUUUAGAUAUUUUAACUCUGGUACCAGUCGAAGACAGUCUUCCACUGCACAUCACAUGUGGCGCGGGCUCAUUCCCAAUACAUAGGGUGACACCCGCGCGUGCCUAUUAAAGCACUCAUCAUAUGAGCCCCCGGGUGGAGAGCCACGCUUCGUCACACGAUCACGCGUGAGAGUUCCGGAAAUCGGAUAGUCUCCACUAAUCCUUUGCUUUGACACCAAAUAUCACAAAGCCCUCAGAUUCCGAGGAUUGUGUGAUUCGAAUAAAUAUGCAUAAAUCACAACUUCUUGUGAUUUGAAGAUUGAUAUCAUAUCUCAACCGUAAAAGAGAUCAGGUCUCUUACCUUUAAAAGGGGGUUCUUUCAAGGAUGCUUCGCAGCCGCACAAGCGUCCGGCCUCGAUGACUCGUCCACGCGAAGCUCCGGAAUGAUCAGCUUCCCGGGGAGUGCUAGCUCGCAGGGAGGCAGAAGGUUAGCUGAAAUGGAGAAGGAAGAAGAUGGACCUUCACAGCUCAAGAACUCCUUCUUGGGCUUUCACCUUCAGAGCUACUCUCUCCUCUCACUCUCUUUCUCUGGUGCUCUUGAU
rnacentral:lncRNA from 1 species